rnacentral:rRNA from 1 species
AAAACGACUCUCGGCAACGGAUAUCUAGGCUCUCGCAUCGAUGAAGAACGUAGCAAAAUGCGAUACUUGGUGUGAAUUGCAGAAUCCCGUGAACCAUCGAGUUUUUGAACGCAAGUUGCGCCCGAAGCCAUUAGGCAGAGGGCACGUCUGCCUAGGCGUCUC